rnacentral:lncRNA from 1 species
AAAAAAUUCCCCCAUUUCUCUACAAAGUUUCAGAUCUGAAACUUGAGAUCCAAACUCCAAAAUCUUCAAAAAUCAAAAACAAAAAAAAAAUAGUAGCAAUUUCUAGAAAAACAAAAUACAAUAGAAAAUCCAAAUAGAAAACACAAAAACAAUUGCUGUUACCGUAGGCUAAUUGCAAGUUUUAGUGACUGAUGAACAUUUCCUAGCUCAAUCUCUGUUAAUUGAAGUCUUAGAGGUGUUUACCAGGUCGAUUUAAAGCAGUUAUGGUGGUUAUUCUACAUGAAUUGAUUGUUGUCAAGUGGAGUUUCUGGUUUGCUUUGGUUAGGGAAGUUUUGAAGUGUUUCUACUUUAAUUUCGAGCACCUUUGGGUCAGUUGGGGAGUGUUGUAGUUUUGUGACAUGCUACUGUGAUGAUUUCUGGGUUUAUGAGUUAAACUUGGCUCAAAAUUGGUCCUUAUUACUGCUGUUGUGACCUGUGGUUGGCGCUGUUAUUCAGUGUGGCUUACCUCCUCUUCUUCUACUUGUACUUCGAAUUCCAGGUACACACUUGUAACACAAGCUGAUGUAAUUAUGAAUUGAGGAGCUGCAAUGAAAUGCUAGUUUGAGACUUAUGCAUCCAAGUUGCCAUAGUAGAGUAGACAUUAUACAAUUCAUGUUUGUUAGUUGUGCUGUCUUUUGAAUUUGUAUCUGAUUUGUAUAACUAGACUGUAUUUAGGUUGAUUGGAACUGUCACGCUAAUCAAUUGAUACUAGUCAUCAAUUUGUUCAGGGAUUUCGUGAUUUUUAUCUGAUUUGUAUAACUAGACUGUAUUUAGGUUGAUCGGAACUAUCACGCUAAUCUAUUAAUACUAAUCAUCAAUUAGUUCAGGGAUUUCGUAUUUAGACAAUUGGUUGUAUGAUAAACUCAGAAUAAUCAGCUAUAGAUCACUUAGUUUGAAUAUUGAGCUAUCCUCAAUAGUUUAAUUUUGUUGUUGACGUGAUUAAUUAAUAAGUGUUGCGAGGUUAAUUAGAGUAAUGACUAAGAUGUUAUUGUCAUUGUUAAAUUGAAAUCUGCUUCCAGUUGAUUUUCAGUUGCCAUUUGUUUUUAGAGAUUCACUAAUAGGUAAGUAAAGAUGAUGGUUUACACAUAUGAUUAUAAUCCAUGUGAUCCAUGGGAGUAAAAUUAUCAAAUUGCCUUUAUUAUAAUUGUUGAGUGCGUUUGGAUAAUUGGGGAGCAUUCCAGUACGUGUUUGUCCAAAUUGCAGUAGCAUUUAGCCUCAGUUAUUAAUUGAAAGGUCAAUAGUCCAAUUUCGGAUGGUUUGGGUUUCAUUGUAUGUCGUCGAUAGCCUAGAUUUCUCGCCUAAAACGAUUUCCCAGGCUGUUUGGCCCACUCCGUUCCUGGGCAUACUCUAAACCCCAAAGAUUUUCGUAUUUGAGUUAGCUUGACAUUCAUAGGUUCAAAAUGAUAGUUUCUAAACAAUGCUCAUUAAUUAGGAUUUUUUUUCUUAUUUUUAGAGACCAAGAAUAUAGAAAGAUCAUAGUCUCUUUUGGCCUUAAUUAAAAAUGGAGACGAUCCUCACCGAACGAAAAUCUUAUUUUUACAGACCAAGAAUAUAAAAAGAUCAUAGCCUCUUUGGGAUUGGCCUUAAAUAAAAAUUGAGACGAGCCUCACCGAACGAAACUAAAUGUGGGGCCCUCAAUAAUUGAUUAUUAAAAAUUAUUAGAAUUUGGAAGGGUCGUUUAGCGAAUUUCCGCGGCCUUUCCCAAACAAUAUUACGUUAGAACCUUAAGCUUAAAUUUAUCUUCCUAAACUCGGGUGCGCAUUGAUGCGACCAAAAUCCCAAUCUCGAUGAAGUCGAAACGUGUCCACGAUCAUGUGUACACUGGUUGUGACGUGAUAAGGAAUACGUUUUCACGACGUCACAAGUUUUUUAAAAUAAAUAAUGGUAAAAGCGGUAUACAAAUAAAAGCACAUAUGUUAGCAUGUAUUAGAAUCAGAUAAAAUCAAAUACAACAGUUAAGCUACCAUGCUAGAACCACGGAAUUGUGGAAUGCCUAACACCUUCUCCUGGGUUAACAGAAUUCCUUACUCGGAUUUCCGGUUCGCAGACUGUAACAGAGUCGUAUUUUUCCUCGGUUCGGGAUUCAAAUCGGUGACUUGGGACACUAUAAAUCUCCCAAGUGGCGACUCUGAAUAAUUAAUAACCAAAUCCCCUUCCGAUUGUUCUUUAACUGGAAAAACUCCUAUACGCUCCUUGGCGGGGGUGUAUAGCAAAAAAAGGAGGUGUGACAGCUUUGGCGACUCUGCUGGGGACAAGAACCCAGAAUAUUUUGUUCAGGGUUCAGAAUUCGAGCUUAGAUGAAUUGUUGUAUUUGGUUAUAUCUGAUUUUUCUUACAUGUUGUGUGUGCUAAAUGUUACCACUUUGAUAAUAUCUGAACUGUAUAUAAACUAUGCCUAUACCCUUCUCUCUCUACCUCCGGGGAUGUGCUUAAUGGGUGAGACUCCCUAUUCUGUUAGUGUCAUACCUUCAAGACAUAAACUGUGCCGACACCCUUCUCUCUUUACCUUCGGGGAUGCGCUUACUGAUUGAGACUCCUUAUUCUGUUAGUGUCAUACCCUAAAAUGAAAAGAGGCUCGGACAAGCUACGAUGCCGGAUGACCUUUUGGUUCCCAGUAAGUUUCCCCUCCUCAACUCAAGUUGUCCGCUCGGGUACACAGUCUAGAACGCUGACCCAGGCUUUGAAUAUAGAAUAACUUGACUUCAUGACGGAUCCCUAGUAGGAACGUUUAUUUGAAUCACCUUGCAUUUAACUUAGGGGACUCAACACAGGGGUUGGGUCCGUCUAGGACUAGCAACCUGAAAUUAAAAUGACCAUACUGAUGCAUCCUACUUGCUAUAUACAUAUAUUUGUUUCGAACCUGCAUGUCGACCGCUUUCUGAAUCUCGAGACUGCCAGAAAAUUGAGAAAAAGAUAAAAGAGAAAGAGAGAGAAAUAACGGUUAGGGAAUUAAUUGAUUACUUUAGAAAAUACAACACCCAAGUACUGGCGAAACUCUGCCAAAAUUUUGAGAAAAUGAAAAAAAAGAAGGAAAAUAUUUUAUUUUGUUUUACUAAAAAGCAAAGGAAAAAUAGAAAAAAGAGUCUUUUAUUUUUGGGAAGGUGUUUGCUGAAAAGAAAAUGAAAAAGAGUCUUUAUUUUAGUUUGAAAAAAAUAGGUUGUUUUAUUAUUUCCCGAAAAGCAAAAAAAAAGAAAAGAAAAAAGAGUCGUUAUUCUGUCUUGUUUUCAAUAUGUUGUUUUAUUGUUUGCUGAAAAUGAAAAAAAAAGAGUCGUUAUUCUGUCUUGUUUUCAAAAAAUGGAAAAUAAAAAAUAGUUUGUCAUGAGAAAGAAAAAAACAAUCUGGAUUUUUGUUCUUAUUGUUUCAAAAUUGUUUAUUUGCCAAUGGAAAAAUAUGGUGUUUUAUUGAAAAAGAAAAAGAGUAUUUAUUUUUCGGAAAAUAGGUUGUGUUACUAAAAAAAAUGAAAAAAAAAAGUUUAGUUUUUAAUAGGAAAAAUAGAUUGUUUGUUGAAAAUGAAAAAAUCGUUACUUUGUCUUGUUUUCAAAAUAGAAAAGGAGAAAUAUUUUGUUUUACCAUGAAAAAUGAAAAGAAAAAAGAGAGUCUUGAUUUUUAUUUCAAAAUAGAUUAUUAUUUGAUGGAAAAGAAGGAAAAAGAAGAGCCUUUUUAGUUCGGAAAAAUAGGUUAUCUUAUUGGGAAAAAAAUGGGGUCUUUUAUUUCAGUUUGAAAAAUAGGUUGUUGGAAAAAUAGGCUGUUUUAUUGAAAAAUAGGUUUUCUUAUUGGAAAAGAAAGAGUCUUUUAUUUUAAUUUGGGAAACAGGUUGUUGGAAAAAUAGGCUGUUUUAUUGUUGAAAAAGAAGAAAGAACAAAGUCUGGUUUUAAAAGUACUUUUUUUUAUUUUUUGCAUAUGAAAUGCCAAAAGAGCAAAUAAAAAAAAGCUCUGUUUUAAAAUGGUUUGGUUGAUCUGCCCUAACUUCGCAUGGUUUGAUUCUCAUAGGGCAUGAGAUACGUAGGCAACCAUCAUCGGGUCCAACCUCCCCUUUACAAAAAUAACCCAAAAAUAUCAAAUUUUUAAUUUUGUCACAAGUAAAUCAGGUGACGCCGUUUUUGUCAAAAAAAUAGCCAAAUGUUCCCAAACGAGGCACCGGAAGGCUGACUUUGCAUAGACAGCCACCUUUGGUCAUAUUUUUAUUUUGACCCUCAGUUCCUUAAAAUCUUCGUCCCCGAGGCGCUGGAAGGCCGUGUUUGCAAUACCGGGUCAUUUAUUUUAAUUUGAAAAAAAAUAAGAAAGGAGUCAGCGGUCAAGUGAAUACCAAAAAUAUUUUGUGGUUAUUACAAAAAUAGAAAAUUCCAAAAAUAUUUCAUUGUCGUUUACCUUUUAUUGGCACGAACUACGCCUGGUCGUAUUCGUGCGGGGUCACGAUACGUAGGCAAUCCACAAAGGAUUCGACCACAACCAAAACCAAAAAAAAUGAAAAACAAAAUUUAAAAAAUGGAAAAGAUGUUGCGAAUAAUGAGGACGGAUCCAAUCCAUUCUAACUCUUUUUUUUUUGAAUUGUGAAGAAAAUUGAGGUGUUUGGUUGUGGUAAGCUGGAAACACAAAAUCUGAGGAAAAUGAUAACCGACAUCGAAGCUGUUUCAAGUGCUCAAGAGACUCCGGGUCAGAGGGUUAAACUAUAGUCUACGAUGUUUAAGGAAAGUAUAACACUGAAACAGAAAAUGACUGAAAUACAUCAAGCAUGGGCCAACGGUCAGGGAGAG